rnacentral:rRNA from 1 species
GGGGAAUAUUGGACAAUGGGCGAAAGCCUGAUCCAGCAAUGCCGCGUGAGUGAUGAAGGCCUUAGGGUUGUAAAGCUCUUUCAGCAGGGAAGAUGAUGACGGUACCUGCAGAAGAAGCCCCGGCUAACUCCGUGCCAGCAGCCGCGGUAAUACGGAGGGGGCUAGCGUUGUUCGGAAUUACUGGGCGUAAAGAGCGCGUAGGCGGUUUAUCAAGUUGGAAGUGAAAGCCCGAGGCUUAACCUCGGAAUUGCUUUCAAGACUGAUAAACUAGAGAGUGGUAGAGGAUGGUGGAAUUCCUAGUGUAGAGGUGAAAUUCGUAGAUAUUAGGAGGAACAUCGGUGGCGAAGGCGGCCAUCUGGGCCAUUUCUGACGCUGAGGCGCGAAAGCGUGGGGAGCAAAC